AGAGGUUCUACACUCUGGCCCUCAAGAUCCACUUUCCUGCAGAGUUUAGCUCCAGCCCUGAUCAAACACACCUGAGCAAGGUAAUCAAGGUCUUCAGGAAUACCAAAACAUUGCAGGCAGAAAUCAAAUAAUCUGUUCCCGUGUGAGUCCACUGUAUGGCGCCAGAGACUUUACUGAAAACCAUCUGCAGUACGGCAGCUGACCUGAAGGGUGCAGUAGAGACACAAUCAAACUGUUCUGGACUUCUAGGCGAUCAAGUGUUUAUUCGGAGACGGAGAGCUCAUACUGCAGAUUCAUGCACCUGGUUUCUUGGUGUAUGACAAUGUCAGAAUAACAGAAAGUGACGAUAAAGCCGCAAUGUUUGCGGUUGAGAGGUGUGCACUUCCCAGUCCUCGAUUCAAUCGAUGCGAUCUAUGAUUCAAAAUACAGCAGACGCUCACAACAACAUCACUUAUUCAUCUCAUUCCAUCUCAAAAUCCUGACAGCACAAAGAUCUCUAAGAAUCUGCAGGCUUUGUGUAAGAUGUGUCAUUCUUAGCCUUGACCUUUUGGUCCGCGUGAGCUCGAGUACGACACUCCUGUUUGCUUUAUUGCCUGCACAACCUUUUCAGACAGAGCAGAAAAUAAAUCUGACCUACACAGAUGAAUGAACAAACCGUUAUUCUGCACCAGCAAUGACAGACGAAUAAAAGCGAGGCGAAACGACAGACUUUCCAAAUCAGAAAACGAUGGGUAAUCAUUUUCUCCAAACCCUUCUCAAUUGAUCUUUUUUGUGUUGGGUUAUGGUUGGUUACCUGGUUUCUAUUUGGAAAAGGCACCAACAUUUUUCAGUUUCACAUGAUAUGAGAGGCGAAUGCCAUUGUGACUUUCUUGUUCCUGUGGGCAAAAGUUUACUGCAGUCAUUUUUUCUUUGAGGAAACUUAGUGUUUAAUGGUUUGUUACAGUG